GACGAACGCUGGCGGCGUGCCUAAUACAUGCAAGUUGAGCGCUGAAGGUUGGUACUUGUACCGACUGGAUGAGCAGCGAACGGGUGAGUAACGCGUGGGGAAUCUGCCUUUGAGCGGGGGACAACAUUUGGAAACGAAUGCUAAUACCGCAUAAAAACUUUAAACACAAGUUUUAAGUUUGAAAGAUGCAAUUGCAUCACUCAAAGAUGAUCCCGCGUUGUAUUAGCUAGUUGGUGAGGCAAAGGCUCACCAAGGCGAUGAUACAUAGCCGACCUGAGAGGGUGAUCGGCCACAUUGGGACUGAGACACGGCCCAAACUCCUACGGGAGGCAGCAGUAGGGAAUCUUCGGCAAUGGACGAAAGUCUGACCGAGCAACGCCGCGUGAGUGAAGAAGGUUUUCGGAUCGUAAAACUCUGUUGGUAGAGAAGAACGUUGGUGAGAGUGGAAAGCUCAUCAAGUGACGGUAACUACCCAGAAAGGGACGGCUAACUACGUG
rnacentral:rRNA from 1 species